GACGAAAGAGGGAGGGGGGAGGAGCACAUGCAAGUCGAACGGUGAAGCUCCAGCUUGCUGGAGUGGAUCAGUGGCGAACGGGUGAGUAACACGUGAGCAACCUGCCCCUGACUCUGGAAUAAGCGCUGGAAACGGCGUCUAAUACUGGAUACGAGAAGGGUCCGCAUGGGCACUUUCUGGAAAGUUUUUCGGUUGGGGAUGGGCUCGCGGCCUAUCAGCUUGUUGGUGAGGUAAUGGCUCACCAAGGCGACGACGGGUAGCCGGCCUGAGAGGGCGACCGGCCACACUGGGACUGAGACACGGCCCAGACUCCUACGGGAGGCAGCAGUGGGGAAUAUUGCACAAUGGGCGAAAGCCUGAUGCAGCGACGCCGCGUGAGGGAUGACGGCCUUCGGGUUGUAAACCUCUUUCAGCAGGGAAGAAGCGAAAGUGACGGUACCUGCAGAAGAAGCACCGGCUAACUACGUG
rnacentral:rRNA from 1 species